GACGAACGCUGGCGGCGCGCCUAACACAUGCAAGUCGAACGGAGAAAAGAUAAGUUUACUUUUCUUUUCUUAGUGGCGGACGGGUGAGUAACACGUGAAGAACCUGCCUUACAGAGGGGGACAACAGCUGGAAACGGCUGCUAAUACCGCAUGACACAUCGAUGGGGCAUCCCGUUGAUGUCAAAGAUUUAUCGCUGAAAGAUGGCCUCGCGUCUGAUUAGAUAGUUGGCGGGGUAACGGCCCACCAAGUCGACGAUCAGUAGCCGGACUGAGAGGUUGACCGGCCACAUUGGGACUGAGAUACGGCCCAGACUCCUACGGGAGGCAGCAGUGGGGAAUAUUGGGCAAUGGACGCAAGUCUGACCCAGCAACGCCGCGUGAAGGAAGAAGGCUUUCGGGUUGUAAACUUCUUUGUCAGGGAAGAGCAGAAGACGGUACCUGACGAAUAAGCCACGGCUAACUACGUG
rnacentral:rRNA from 1 species